CAGAAAGAAAGGCACACACAAGUUCCUUCAUUAUGACAUUAUAGGGUCAGCUAACCGGGCAGUUGCAGAAUCUCUUGCUGAAAGUAUAAGAAAAGUGAUCCCUGCUUUUGCCAAAGUGGUUAUAUAUGAGCCCCCUAUGCCACAGCAGCAGGACCCAUAUAAUUGUGGUGUAUAUGUGCUGGCCAUUACAGAAGUGAUCAGUGAAUGGUUUAUGAAAAAUGAGGAAUUAACACAUGAAUUGAGAGACAUGGUAAAAGAGUUGGGUGAAGUUCACAAUAUGAGGACGAAAUAUCACCAGAUGAUACUAAACCAUGAAGCUGUCUGUGACCCAGCUAUCAUGAAUACCACUGAACUAGAGAAUACUUCUGCAGAAAAGCUUUGUUUGAGGGAUAUUCACGCUAACUCAGUGAAAAUCUACCAUCUGAGCGUACGGAUGGACUAAGUGAACGGCGUCAAGCACUGCUUACAAACCUAAAAAAUCUUAAUGUACCAUCUCAGCGUACAGAUGGACUAAGUGAUGCGCAGCUUAAAGCACUGCAAAUAGACCUAGAAAGUCUUACUGGUACACGGUGGAUAACUGAUGGUGUAAUUCAGAGAAUAUUUGCCUUCCUCUCUACCACCUACAGAAAUGAUAAGAUCCUACU